AUGCAACAAUACAUUGUACAUAGACAGCUAAAACACCUCGGCACUCCACUAAAAGCUAAAAAACAAAAACGAGACAGUGGCAACUGGCAAGCAAGAUCCAUGGAACCUGAUGUAUCAGCAGCAGUAAUCUGUCAAUCAGUGAGUGAAAGUGUAGAAGACGGUGCUGAUGUACACGACGAGGGCGGUGGAGACGAGCCCGACGAGCCCUGCGGCGGCCUUGGCAGCGGCCCGGUUGCUGGCGCAUCCCAGGGUGCCGAGCCGGAUCUGCACGACCAUCACCAUGGACGCCAUCAAGAAGACGCAGCCGACGACGGAGCCCACGGCGGAGGCCAGCAUCCCGAGCCGGAGCAGGCGGGCGUCGAUGUGGGCGUGCGUGUCGUCAGGAUCCUUGGAGUUGAUGAGGUUGAUCGCGAGCUUGAGGCCCUGCGCGACGAGGCUGGAGAAGAGGAAGGAGGAGAAGGCGACCACCUCGAGGACCAGCAGGGACCGCGCCACGUCGGGCCCGGCGUCGCAGGACGGGUCUCCGGCAAGGCUGCGGAGCUCGCCGGGGGUCGCGAGGGAGAGGCCCACGAAGACGGCCACCGUGAAGAGCGAGUUCACGUUGACCACCCCGUCCAGCGCCGUCACGUGCACGCUCGUCGUGUUCGCCGACAGCGCCGCCGGGAGCUUCCACUCGUAGCCGUGGUGAUGGCCGCCGCCGUUGCCGCGCUCGUCAGAUCUGGGGCAAUCAGAAGCAAAAGGAAAACAGCAUCUUCAGGCGCUUCCCUUCCAAAAAAAAUGGAGUUCUUGGUCGGUGCAACCAAUGCAAGAACAUCUUGUUCGGAUUCGAGGAGGUGA
rnacentral:rRNA from 1 species